rnacentral:rRNA from 1 species
AAUGAACGCUGGCGGCGUGCCUAACACAUGCAAGUCGAGCGGUAAGGCCCCUUCGGGGGUACACGAGCGGCGAACGGGUGAGUAACGCGUGGGUAACCUACCCAGAGGUGGGGGAUAGCCCCGGGAAACCCGGGGGUAAUACCGCAUACGUCACAUUUGACUCAAGUCGAUUGUGAGAAAGGCGGGGAUCCUUCGGGACCUGUCGCUUCUGGAUGGGCCCGCGUCCGAUUAGCUUGUUGGUGGGGUAAUGGCCCACCAAGGCUGCGAUCGGUAGCCGGCCUGAGAGGGUGAACGGCCACAUUGGGACUGAGACACGGCCCAGACUCCUACGGGAGGCAGCAGUGGGGAAUUUUGGGCAAUGGGCGCAAGCCUGACCCAGCGACGCCGCGUGGAGGAUGAAGGCCUUCGGGUUGUAAACUCCUGUCAGGUGGGAAGAAGAGCCUCGUGGUUAAUAGCCACGAGGAAUUGACGGUACCACCAAAGGAAGCCCCGGCUAACUCCGUG